GGAAACACGCAUCCCUCCAGCAAGGAGAACAACAACAACACAAACAAACGGAGUCACAGCGCAGAGUCUGCUGUGGGCGUGGCUGCGUAGGGAACGUGUGCUGAGAAUCUACGCAGGUGCUUUGUAUCAGUGAGGAAGAAGAACAGCUGUGCACUAUCUUCCUGACAUCAGAACUGAGCACAUCGGAACGGAAAUAUCAGCUCAGCCUCAGACGUCCUUACAGCCUUCAGACAGAAGAGGAGUCAGUGGUUCUCCAAAAAAAGCAGAUAAGCACCGUGACUUUUAGAUUCGCCAACACCAGCACUGAAGUUGGAAGCUGCCUAAGUAUGCGCCAAGAAAAAUCUACGAAUAUGAUUUUCUACUA